GAUGAACGCUAGCGACAGGCUUAACACAUGCAAGUCGAGGGGCAGCGGGGGUAGCAAUACCCGCCGGCGACCGGCGCACGGGUGAGUAACGCGUAUGCAACUUACCUAUCAGAGGGGGAUAACCCGGCGAAAGUCGGACUAAUACCGCAUGAAGCAGGGAUCCCGCAUGGGAAUAUUUGCUAAAGAUUCAUCGCUGAUAGAUAGGCAUGCGUUCCAUUAGGCAGUUGGCGGGGUAACGGCCCACCAAACCGACGAUGGAUAGGAGUUCUGAGAGGAAGGUCCCCCACAUUGGUACUGAGACACGGACCAAACUCCUACGGGAGGCAGCAGUGAGGAAUAUUGGUCAAUGGCCGAGAGGCUGAACCAGCCAAGUCGCGUGAGGGAUGAAGGUUCUAUGGAUCGUAAACCUCUUUUAUAAGGGAAUAAAGUGCGGGACGUGUCCCGUUUUGUAUGUACCUUAUGAAUAAGGAUCGGCUAACUCCGUGCCAGCAGCCGCGGUAAUACGGAGGAUCCGAGCGUUAUCCGGAUUUAUUGGGUUUAAAGGGUGCGUAGGCGGCCUUUUAAGUCAGCGGUGAAAGUCUGUGGCUCAACCAUAGAAUUGCCGUUGAAACUGGGGGGCUUGAGUAUGUUUGAGGCAGGCGGAAUGCGUGGUGUAGCGGUGAAAUGCAUAGAUAUCACGCAGAACCCCGAUUGCGAAGGCAGCCUGCCAAGCCAUGACUGACGCUGAUGCACGAAAGCGUGGGGAUCAAACAGGAUUAGAUACCCUGGUAGUCCACGCAGUAAACGAUGAUCACUAGCUGUUUGCGAUACACUGUAAGCGGCACAGCGAAAGCGUUAAGUGAUCCACCUGGGGAGUACGCCGGCAACGGUGAAACUCAAAGGAAUUGACGGGGGCCCGCACAAGCGGAGGAACAUGUGGUUUAAUUCGAUGAUACGCGAGGAACCUUACCCGGGUUUGAACGCAUUCGGACCGAGGUGGAAACACCUUUUCUAGCAAUAGCCGUUUGCGAGGUGCUGCAUGGUUGUCGUCAGCUCGUGCCGUGAGGUGUCGGCUUAAGUGCCAUAACGAGCGCAACCCUUGCCACUAGUUACUAACAGGUAAAGCUGAGGACUCUGGUGGGACUGCCAGCGUAAGCUGCGAGGAAGGCGGGGAUGACGUCAAAUCAGCACGGCCCUUACAUCCGGGGCGUCACACGUGUUACAAUGGCGUGGACAAAGGGAAGCCACCUGGCGACAGGGAGCGAAUCCCCAAACCACGUCUCAGUUCGGAUCGGAGUCUGCAACCCGACUCCGUGAAGCUGGAUUCGCUAGUAAUCGCGCAUCAGCCAUGGCGCGGUGAAUACGUUCCCGGGCCU
rnacentral:rRNA from 1 species